AGAGUUUGAUCCUGGCUCAGGACGAACUCUAGCGACGUGCCUAAGAAAUGCAAGUCGAGCGAUGACGGUCUCUUCGGAGAUCUGAUUAGCGGCGAACGGUCGCGUAACACGUAAGCAAUCUGCCCUAAAGAUUGGGAUAGCCCAGGGAAACCUGGAUUAAUACCGGAUGUGAAUAAUUUAUCGCAUGUUAAAUUAUUUAAAGUAGCAAUACGCUUUAGGAUGAGCUUGCGGCCUAUCAGCUAGUUGGUAAGGUAACGGCUUACCAAGGCGACGACGGGUAGCUGGUCUGAGAGGAUGGUCAGCCGGAUUGGGACUGAGAUACGGCCCAGACUCCUACGGGGGGCAGCAAUUAGGAAUCUUGCGCAAUGGGGGGAACCCUGACGCAGCGACGUCGCGUGAAGGAAGAAUUCUUUCGGGAUGUAAACUUCUUUUAACAGGGAAGAACUCUGACUGUACCUGUUGAAUAAGCCCCGGCUAACUCCGUGCCAGCAGCCGCGGUAAUACGGAGGGGGCAAGCGUUGUCCGAAUUUACUGGGCGUAAAGCGCGCGUAGGCGGUUUAUUAAGUUGGUGGUGAAAAACCGAGGCUCAACCUCGGUCGUGCUUCCAAUACUGAUAGACUUGAGGUAUGUAUGGGGAAGUGGAAUUCCUGGUGUAGCGGUGAAAUGCGUAGAUAUCAGGAGGAACACCGGUGGCGAAGGCGGCUUCCUGGGCAUAUCCCGACGCUGAGGUGCGAAAGCUAGGGUAGCAAACGGGAUUAGAUACCCCGGUAGUCCUAGCCGUAAACGAUGGAUACUAGGUGUUAAAGGUAUCGACCCCUUUAGUGCCGAAGCAAACGCAUUAAGUAUCCCGCCUGGGGAGUACGGCCGCAAGGUUGAAACUCAAAGGAAUUGACGGGGGCCCGCACAAGCGGUGGAGCAUGUGGUUUAAUACGUCACUAACCGUAGAACCUUACCCAGGUUUGACAUCGGUAUGCCCGCUCUGCGAAAUCGGAGCCUUUCAGUUUACUGAACAUACUAGACAGGUGUUGCAUGGCUGUCGUCAGCUCGUGUCGUGAGAUGUUGGGUUAAGUCCCGCAACGAGCGCAACCCUCACUAAAUGUUGCCAGCGUAAAGUCGGGAACUCAUUUAGAACUGCCUAUGUAAGUAGGAGGAAGGUGGGGAUGACGUCAAGUCAGCAUGGCCCUUACGCCUGGGGCUACACACAUGCUACAAUGGGUGAACAAAGGGAAGCAAUACCGCGAGGUGGAGCGAAUCUCAAAAAUACACUCUCAGUUCAGAUUGCAGUCUGCAACUCGACUGCAUGAAGUUGGAAUCGCUAGUAAACGCAGGUCAGCAAAACUGCGUUGAAUACGUUCCCGGGCCUUGCACACACCGCCCGUCA
rnacentral:rRNA from 1 species